AAACACUCGAUUCAACGGUGCAGAUCUGAACCUGAUUCCUAAUGCAACCAGUCUGGCCUGCUCCAGUGACUCCAUACAGACUCUAAAUCCCCUGGGAUGUUCGUCUGUGAUCUGCCAGGCUCAUCAGUGGAGAAGAGGAGAAGGCUAACUGGGAGCCUGUACUGGGUUGUAAAUCUGUCCUGGUUGGGAGGCGUUCGUGGGAUGGCCUCACUUCUACUGCAGCCCAGUAGGUCCAGCGAUAACACCCCUUUACCCACUUUUCCUCCACUCUCA